CAAAAACAUCGCCUCCCGCAAAAAUCAACGUAUAGGAGGUCUUGCCUGCCCAGUGACUAUAAGUUAAACGGCCGCGGUAUUUUGACCGUGCAAAGGUAGCGCAAUCACUUGUCUUUUAAAUGAAGACCUGUAUGAAUGGUGGAACGAGGGCUUAACUGUCUCCCCCCUCUAGUCAAUGAAAUUGAUCUACCCGUGCAGAAGCGGGUAUAAUAAUACAAGACGAGAAGACCCUUUGGAGCUUAAGACAAAAAACCAACUAUGUCAAAAGUCCUAGAAAUAGACUAAACCAAAUAGCACUUGGUCCCAGUCUUCGGUUGGGGUGACCGCGGGAGAAAAUAAAGCUCCCAUGCGGACUGGGGCAACCCCCUAAAACUAAGAGAGACAUCUCUAAGGCACAGAACAUCUGACCAAAAAGAUCCGGCUACAUGCCGACCAACGAACCAAGUUACCCUAGGGAUAACAGCGCAAUCCCCUUCCAGAGUCCAUAUCGACAAGGGGGUUUACGACCUCGAUGUUGGAUCAGGACAUCCUAAUGGUGCAGCCGCUAUUAAGGGUUC
rnacentral:rRNA from 1 species